rnacentral:rRNA from 1 species
UGGGCAAUCUGCCCUUCACUCUGGGACAAGCCCUGGAAACGGGGUCUAAUACCGGAUAACACCUUCUCCCUCCUGGGAGGGGGUUAAAAGCUCCGGCGGUGAGGGAUGAGCCCGCGGCCUAUCAGCUAGUUGGUGGGGUAAUGGCCUACCAAGGCGACGACGGGUAGCCGGCCUGAGAGGGCGACCGGCCACACUGGGACUGAGACACGGCCCAGACUCCUACGGGAGGCAG